AUUGAACGCUGGCGGCAGGCCUUACACAUGCAAGUCGAACGAGUGGCGGACGGGUGAGUAAUGUAUGGGAAACUGCCCGAUGGCGGGGGAUAACUACUGGAAACGGUAGCUAAUACCGCAUACUAUCGGAUGUGCCCAGAUGGGAUUAGCUAGUAGGUGGGGUAAAGGCUCACCUAGGCGACGAUCCCUAGCUGGUCUGAGAGGAUGACCAGCCACACUGGAACUGAGACACGGUCCAGACUCCUACGGGAGGCAGCAGUGGGGAAUAGUGCACAAGGGGCGCAAGCCUGAUGCAGCCAUGCCGCGUGUAUGAUGAAGGCCUUCGGGUUUUAAAGUACUUUCAGCGGUGAGGCGUUACCCGCAGAAGAAGCACCGGCUAACUCCGUGCCAGCAGCCGCGGUAAUUC
rnacentral:rRNA from 1 species